rnacentral:tRNA from 1 species
GCCUGGGUAGCUUGGUGGGUUAAGCGUCAGACUGCGCCUCAGGUCAUGAUUUCGCGGUCCGUGGGUUCGAGCCCCACAUCAGGCU